CGUGCCACUGGGACACUUAGCACCUCCAGACUUCAGCUUCCUCAACUCUAGAAUGAGAUCUGCAGUUUGGACGGCGCUUAGCAGGGAAAGCUCACUUCUCC
rnacentral:lncRNA from 1 species